UACGAAGGGGGCUAGCGUUAAUCGGAAUUACUGGGCGUAAAGCGUGCGCAGGCGGUUUUGUAAGCCAGAUGUGAAAUCCCCGGGCUUAACCUGGGAAUGGCAUUUGGGACUGCAAGGCUGGAGUGUGGCAGAGGAGACUGGAAUUCCCGGUGUAGCAGUGAAAUGCGUAGAUAUCGGGAGGAAUACCGAUGGCGAAGGCAGGUCUCUGGGCUGACACUGACGCUCAUGCACGAAAGCGUGGGGAGCAAACAGG
rnacentral:rRNA from 1 species